AGAGAUUGCACUGGGCGUAAAGCGUGCGCAGGCGGUUUUGUAAGACAGAGGUGAAAUCCCGGGCUCAACCUGGGAACUGCCUUUGUGACUGCAAGGCUGGAGUGCGGCAGAGGGGGAUGGAAUUCCGCGUGUAGCAGUGAAAUGCGUAGAUAUGCGGAGGAACACCGAUGGCGAAGGCAAUCCCCUGGGCCUGCACUGACGCUCAUGCACGAAAGCGUGGGGAGCAAACA
rnacentral:rRNA from 1 species